rnacentral:rRNA from 1 species
CCUACGGGGGGCAGCAGUGGGGAAUAUUGGGCAAUGGAGGAAACUCUGACCCAGCAACGCCGCGUGAAGGAUGAAGGUCUUCGGAUUGUAAACUUCUGUUGCGAGGGAUGAAGAAUGACGGUACCUCGUAAGAAUGCGCCGGCAAACUACGUGCCAGCAGCCGCGGUAAUACGUAGGGGGCGAGCGUUGUCCGGAAUGACUGGGCGUAAAGGGAGUGUAGGCGGCAUGUUACGUGAUGUGUGAAAGCCCGCGGCUCAACCGCGGAAUUGCACUUAAAACUGGUGAGCUGGAGUGCAGGAGGGGUAAGUGGAAUUCCUGGUGUAGCGGUGGAAUGCGUAGAUAUCAGGAGGAACACCAGAGGCGAAGGCGACUUGCUGGACUGUAACUGACGCUGAGGCUCGAAAGCGUGGGGAGCAAACAGGAUUAGAUACCCGAGUAGUC